rnacentral:rRNA from 1 species
GGACCCGCACAAGCGGUGGAGCAUGUGGUUUAAUUCGAUGCAACGCGAAGAACCUUACCUGGUCUUGACAUCCUGCGAACUUUCUAGAGAUAGAUUGGUGCCUUCGGGAACGCAGUGACAGGUGCUGCACGGCUGUCGUCAGCUCGUGUUGUGAAAUGUUGGGUUAAGUCCCGCAACGAGCGCAACCCCUAUUGAUAGUUACCAUCAUUAAGUUGGGUACUCUAUUGAGACUGCCGCUGACAAGGCGGAGGAAGGUGGGGACGACGUCAAGUCAUCAUGGCCCUUACGACCAGGGCUACACACGUGCUACAAUGGGUAUUACAGAGAGCUGCGAAGGUGCGAGCUGGAGCGAAACUCAGAAAGCCUAUCCCAGUUCGGAUUGGAGUCUGCAACUCGACUCCAUGAAGUUGGAAUCGCUAG